GCACUUGUGGUUCAGUGGUUGAACGCUCGCCCAUUGUGCGAGAGAUUCGGGUUCGAUUCCCGGCCAGUGCA